rnacentral:lncRNA from 1 species
UUUUUUUAUUUUUGUUGUUGCUAAUUUUAUUUUUACUAGAGUAUAGUUCAUCUGCAGUGUUGUGUCAAUUUCUGCUAUACAGCCUAGUGACCAAGUCAUACAUACACUGAUAUAUAUAUAUAUAUCACAUAUUAUGUAUAAAACAUUAUUUACAUGUAAAACAUUUACAUAAUAUAUACAUAUAUAUAACAUUUAUAUAUGUUAUAUAUAUAUAACAUUCUUUGGAUUGUGCGGUCUCUAUUGUUUCUGGAGGCCAUAGAAAAUUUCCCAUGGACCUAGCUGGGGUGGCCAAGGGCGAGGGGUGGGGAGGCUCAGUCACAGGGAUCUUGGCAGUGGCAUCAGCUUGACCAUCUAACCCUAUUUUCCAAAGGUAAUAUCCAGCUCUCUACCCCCCCCAUCCCCCUACAGGUUGAGAGUAAGGUUUCUUAGUCAGACAAGGGUUUGACAAAGUCUGGCUUCCCCACUUACUAGGUGAGACCUCAGGCAAGUCACUCAACUUUCCCAAAUCUCAGCUGCCCCCUGUGGAAAGUGAGUAUAAUACCACCCACUUCUCUAAGUCAUUAUAAGGACCAACUAGGCUGCCUAGUAAAGAAGCAGCCUGGGGUUAGACAAAGGGCAACACCUCGAUAAUGGUACCCAGGAGGAGGUGGCUAAGUGUUAGCAUGAGCAGUAGUAUUAGAAUUUUAUCUUGUCCAAAAUACACAGAGGAAAUCCUCGCUGGUCCAGCUUUGACUUUUGAACUUCAUACCUUUUGUAUUUAGUGAUAAAGUGUCCGAUCACCAAAUCACGUUUGGAGUGUAUGUGCACAUACACACACACACACACACCAUCAUCACCCCUCUUCUAAACAUCACAGUAACAGCAUACAUCCAUGGGGAAGCUAGGGAUCAAAGGUCAAACGCCUGCCAUCAGGUCACUCCACUAGCAAAGCAAGAAACAGAUUUGAAAUGAGUGUCUGCAACUAAGCCACAACCCAUCAGGUACAUUCGCCCCGUUCUUUUCUUCACAUCAUAUUACAGAUGCUAAACAGAAGCUCUGAAGGUUUACUUCUUGUCCAUUUCCAGGUACAUGGAUGAAUCCCUGGCGCCCCUGCCUCUCACACAGUGAGGAUCUCACUUCCCUGCAAAUACCUUCCCUUCCCUGCAAAUAUCUUCUUGUGGGGGCGUGCAGUGCACUCAUAAAUGCGUUCAUCCCCCCUUCUAAGUAAAUAAACCUUGAGAUCAUAUGUCUUUCAAUAAAGAUGUCCCUUCAGAGUUCCUGCUGUAGCACAAUGGGAUCGGCCACGUCUUGCGAGUGCUGGGACACAGGUUCAAUCCCUGGCCCAGCUCAGGAGGUUAAGGAUCUGGCAUUGCCGCAACUGCGACACAGGUCACCACGGAGGCUCAGAUAGGAUCCCUGACCCGGGAACUCCACCCAGGGUGGCCAAAAAAAGGAAAAAAAGAAGGAUGUUCCUUCACACACCCACCUGAGGUUUGCUAAACAGCAAUCCUGUCCUUAGAUGAUUCUUCUCCUACUGACAAGCUCUGCAGUCCCAAUUCACCUCGAAUAUCUGCAUCACCCUCGACAGCCUGUUUCUUGUGCUGAAAUGACAAUAGGCAUCUCCUCUGCAGGAGCUUGUACUCAUGCUAUGUGUGCUCCUGGUUGAUCAGGGUGCAGGUGUUCUUUCCCUUAGAGAUGUGAUCUCUUUGGAUUCCUCCAGGCUCCUUUGUAAGCCUCGUCUUUUUCGGGUUGCCUCUGACUGCCCGACAGCUCUGUCCCAAGCUCCAGGCUCUCUCCCUCUCCUCUCCUGUGUCUCUCCACCUUCCUUCUCCAAGUCCAGUCCUACCUACAGCUGGCCCUGACAUUUCCAUCUGCUUUGGUCUCAGCCUCCACCUUUCUCUGAAGGCUUCCCUCCCUGUUCUCUCCUCCUCUGUGCACCUGAGAUGUGAGCAAGGAAGCCUGGUUUCCCAUCAGCACAGUUCCUUUUCCCUUGCAUUGCUUCUGGUUUUGUUUUGUUUUUUUUUGUUUGUUUUUUUUGUUUUUGUUUUUUUUUUUGGUCUUUUUGUCCUUUAGGGCCACACUUGCAGCACAUGGAGGUUCCCAGGCUAGGGCCCAAUCACAACUGCAGCCACCAGACAAUGCCACAGCCACAGCAAUGCGGGAUCCGAGCAGCAUCUGCAACCUAUACCACAGCUCACGGCAAUGCCAGAUCCCCCACCCACUGAGAGAGGCCAGGGGUCGAACCCUCAUCCUCAUGGAUACUAGUCAGGUUCACUAACAGCUGAGCCACAAUGGGAACUCCCCUUCCUUGCCUUGCUUCUUACGCCUCUUGUUUAUCCCUUGUUAUUUUACCACUUUGCUUCCCUGGGACCCUAAAUCUCUCAUCUCCGCAGAAUCCCGAUCCCUCCCCCAAACUUCUCCGUCUCCUCCCCAGUCUGAAGCCUCAACAACAUUAUUUCAAAACGUGUUGCCAGCUCUGCCUCUUUCUGUCUUCCUCUUUCUGUCAGGCCCCUUGAAGUUGUCCCAGCUGUGCUUGCCUCCUUUUUAUGUCAGUCUUUUAGAAACACAUUCAAAGAGAGUCUCUUUUACGCCACAAGGGUAACUGUCACUUUGUGCCUCAACCCUUCGUCUCAUUUUAAAGGAGGCAUAGUUGAGACCUUGUUUUGUGCGCCCCAAACACAUACAUCCUCUCCCUGCCAUUCCUGCUGUCACUCUCUUGGCUCCAGUCCUAAUUAUUUCUCUCCUACUCCCCUAACCCACAUCUCUGACUUCUUUCUUGUCAAUUUCCAUCUGCCCUUCACACCCUCGCCUCUAGACUGACUCCAAAAAGCAAAUGUGAUCCAUUAAUUCCCCAGAUUACAAGGCUCCAAUGGCUUCCCAUGACUUUCAGCACAGGGGCUAAACUCGCUAGCAGGGAAAGCAAGGCAUUUCGUGAUCUGGUCUCUGCCUAUGACUGACUACAAAGCUCCAAUCUCUCUGUUCCCCACCACGGAGGCUCAGUGCAGUCAGUAACGUGGGACCCCUCUGCACUGAUGUGGGUGCAACCAGUCCAUGCUUCCGUGCCUCUAAAUAUGAUGUUCUUGAGUUAGGAAGGCCCAUUUUAGAGAGCUGAAUAGAGAGAAAGAUAGAUAACCCUUAUUAUACUUUAUCUUUGGUCCCAUUCUCCUUCUAGCCUCAGGUCGACAAAUGGAAUGAAGGAUGGAUGGAGGGAGAAAUGACACAAGGAAGAAGGGAGCAGGCAACUGCACACUAUAAUCAGGUAAUUUCUCAACCAACACAUAAUUUCUAACCCAGUAUCGAUUAUAACUAAAUUGUUCUUCAACUGAAAUGUAAGGCAGGUAUCUAGCCCUAUACUUCCCUUGGCACAGUCCUUUGGAUACCCAGUCGCCCCAAUAUAAACCCGCAUGAUAAUAACAACAAUAAAAAUAAUGGCUCAUGUAUCAUACUCCAGAAAACUUCUGAGUUCUUUACCUACAUUAAUUCGUCUAUAUCUCAGUAAAUGCUGAGGAAGCACAACUACGUUAAUUUGCUCAAAGCCAUAUAGCUUCCAGUGGAGGAGCCAGAGCUCACACCCCAAAGCCAAUGCUCUUAACUUGGGCACCAAUAUGGCAUCUGUGAUCUGCUAUUUUAAGCGGUACUAUUAACACAUACCAAAAUCUCUUCAACAAGUCUUCAAUCUCUCAUGUGCUUCAUGUCUCAUUACAGACAAUGAGGGUUUGGGCCCUGCAUGGGCCUCUUAAAUAGACCAUAACCUUCUUCCAGAAGCCCAUUGCAGUGAAAAGAAUGAGGAGUUUGAAUCGGAAAGCCUGAUGGGAUUCAAGUUCUAUUUAUGUCAGUAGCUGUGUGGCCUGAAGGCAAAGCAUUUAACUUGGUCCUCAGUUUCUGCCUGUAAUGAAGAUAUUACCACCAACCCUCAUACGGAUGCUCCAAAGUCUACAUGAGAUAAAGUCUAUAAAAAUAUAAUACAAAGGUACACAUUUCAGUUCUAGCAGUUCUCAUCAGACACAACACCCAUGAUUAUUCUCCUAAUAUGAAUGUCACCUGGAGCUCCUUAGUUCCUGGAUAAUGAAAUCCUGCAAGCAGGUGCCCUGAAUAUAUCCCCAUGAUGUGACUAAUCAGAGCCCUGGCAUGAAACUUUUUUUUCCUUACGACAAGACUUAUGCUGCAUGAAGUUCCUCCUCCUUGCAAAUCUUCCCUUGGAGGGCGUUUGCAGAGAUGAUUUCAGCUUCCACCUCAAGAAUAAGAUAAAGAGAAACCAAGCAGAAAGAGAAAGAAAAGUCAGCUUUGGUCCUUUUCCUUUCAUUGUCCAACCUAUCAUGACUCUCCUAAUUUUCAUCCUUUUUUUUUUUUUUCCCUUUGCUAUGUUUUUCCUCUUCUCCCAGCUUACUCUUCACAAACUGCAACCAUGCUUACUACAGUCCUAGCUGGUGCCAAGGAGGAAAUGUGCUUCCAGGGUAUCUAAAUCCCCAGCUCUCUUCCUCCAGCUGUGGCUGUUUCUCCUUCCAUGUCCGCAUGCCCCAUGGCUCACAUGACCAACUCACUGGCAUCCUUCUAACCUCUAAGGAUCCACAGUCUCAUUUUCUGUAAAUAGGUGAAGUCCUUCAGCCCUGUUCCUGGUGACCACGCUUUUCCUCCAGCUGUGCAGGAAAAACUCAACUGACCCUUACCAUAGCCAGCCAGCCACAGAGCUGGGAUUUGAACCCAGGUCCCCUGCCCACAACCAAAGCUCAUUCCAGAAGAGCAGCGGAGCUCUACAUUUUCCAUCCAUUCCCAGAAUGUUCAUUAGUUCACAAGUGUUUAAUGGCCCAGUACUAUGCUUGGCACUGGCUAUACUCUAAGAGGCAAGCGAGAUUCUAAAUACACUCAGAGAGGGAUGAACAAGGGCUGCAACAGAGGCAUCUGUUACCUCCUUAUCAUGUAUUUUGCAGAAAGGACACAGCGCUCAAGCACACAGUAACUCACAGGUGUUCAUUACAGAAUCUAUCAUAUGUAACUUAAUCUAAAGGAACAAUCAAGUCACGCUGUUGGCCACUGCAUCCUCAAGAUCUAGCGCCCUGCUUGGCAUAUGGGAAGCAUAUUAAAAUAUCAAUUAAUUAAUGCCUUCCUGUAUUUAGUUAGGCUUGAAUCGCCAAGUGCACGGGGUUCUGAAUGUUUCUUGGUUCAUUUAUGUACUUAACCAACACUUACUGAACACUUACUGUGUUGGGCAACAGUUCAGGACCCCAGAGAUGUCUUGAUGCUCUCAGGUAAAAAUAACUUCAUAUAUGACAUCUGAAGCAUUCAUUUCUCCAAGCAUUUUACACAGACAGAUGAAUAAACACCACACAUACACACAGAGGAGGCAACUUUCUGUUGUUGGAAAAUUGCAUUUUUAUGGCAAAACACAGUGUUCAUGCCAAAAAUAACUUCAAUCACAUUCUUUUUCUUUCUUUUUUUUUAGGGCCACAGCCAUGGCACAUGGAAGUUCCCAGGCUAGGGGUCAAAUCAGAGCUGCAGCUGCUGGCCUACACCAUAGCAAUGCCAGAUCUGAGCUGUGUCUGCCACCUACAGUGCAGUUCAUGGAAAGGCCAGAUCCUUAACCCACUGAGUGGGGCCAGGGAUCGAACCUGUGUCCUCAAGCCUCCUAGUUGGGUUCAUUCCCACAAUGGGAACUCCCCAAUCACAAUUCUUAUCAUUUGCUUCUCCUCGAUAAGCUUGGUUUCCAUCAGGCUCUUAGAACAAAAAAGAUGAGGGAAAUUCAUUCUGC